GACGAACGCUGGCGGCGUGCUUAACACGUGCAAGUCGAACGGUGAAGCGCCUUCCUUUUUGGUGGGUGUGGAUGAGUGGCGAACGGGUGAGUAACACGUGAGUAACCUGCCCCCUUCUUCUGGAUAACCGCAUGAAAGUGUGGCUAAUACGGGAUAUUCUGGGUCUGUCGCAUGAUGGGUCUGGGAAAGAUAUUGUUUCGGUGGGGGAUGGGCUCGCGGCCUAUCAGCUUGUUGGUGGGGUGAUGGCCUACCAAGGCGGUGACGGGUAGCCGUCCUGAGAGGGUGGACGGUCACACUGGGACUGAGACACGGCCCAGACUCCUACGGGAGGCAGCAGUGGGGAAUAUUGCACAAUGGGCGCAAGCCUGAUGCAGCGACGCCGCGUGAGGGAUGGAGGCCUUCGGGUUGUGAACCUCUUUCGCCAGUGAAGCAGGCCUGCCUCGUUUGUGGGUGGGUUGACGGUAGCUGGAUAAGAAGCGCCGGCUAACUACGUG
rnacentral:rRNA from 1 species